CUGAAUCCUGGGCUACUUGCUGGGUGUUCACUCUCCUGCUCUUCUCAUGUGUAGUUUCACUAAAGCCUGCCUCAAGUAUUGCGAGGUGCCUAGCCAACAGAUGACUGAUAACUGAAGCCCAGCCUUUCAAUCCCGAGGAAUAGCUUCUGGCUUCCUUGUGCAAUAUCGUCCUGGAAAAUAAAUAAAUGGAAAAGCAAGAUGUGUCUUCAGUGAAGUCCUGGCUUGAAUGGAGAGUGCGGACCCUUUCGUGUUCUGCAGACCAAACAAUUCUUUCUGCGGGCUAGAUUCGACCGGUAUUCAGCAAAAUGGAAAUUGUCAGUAAAAGGACGGGCAUAUUAUUCCUACGCAAGUUAAUUCAUUCAAAUGCACCUUAUUUUCUGAAGUCAUAAUGACAAAAACAAACUGUACCACGAUGGAUAGAAAAAGAGAAACAUAGAAGUCCCUCUGGAACAAGA